GUUCCAGAGCAGCAAGAGACCUUGAAGCAUAGUCACCAGGGGCCAUGGCUCCUGGGAGAUAGAGGACUUGGGGGCACUCUGGAAGGGAAGGAAGGUGGACUCAGAGGCACAGCAGCCGCUGCCUCCUGGACACCCUAUGGACCAGGGAUCAACAUCCUGCAGGAGCUGCACUUUCUGAAACAGGGCCUGAUAGCCAUAUGACUCCUUCUGGGCAGCAGGACAAGCUUGAGCCCAGAAGUAACUCAUCAUCAGUCAGCACUGGCUCAGCUACUCACCAGCACACUUGUUUGUCUACCCAUGUGUUCAGCAAAUACUUGCAGCACCUAAUGUGGGACAGAUAUUGUUCCAAGUGCUGAGGACACAGUGAUAGCUAAGCCUAGCAAGUCCCUUUUGUCGGAAAGCUGUUAUUCCAGUGUGAGAGGAUGCAUGGACACACACACACACACACACACACACACACACACAUGCACAGACAAUAAAAAAGUUGUGGGAAGUACAUGCAGAACAGGAAAGUAAGUUAUGGGGUGUCAUAGUGAUGGGGUGUAGAUGGUAGACUGGUGGUCACUGAAGGACUCAUUGAGGCAGUAACAUUGAAGCAAGGGCAGGAGCAGGCUAUGUAGAUAUCUGAGGAAAAAAGCCCUCUGCCAUCAAAGGCAGAGGACGCAAGGCAGGAGAGUGACCAGUGUGUUUGGGGAGCAGUAAGGAGGUCAAGGUGGCUGGAGAUGGUUGGAAACAAGGACUGAGCUUGGAGAUAGCACAGAAAAUUCCAAUCAUGGAAGUUCUUGUAGGGCCCUCAUAGGGUGAGGGGCUUCCAGCAAGGUAAAGAGGUGACAGCUGGAAGACAAGGUGAAGUAAGAGGCAGUGUGGAUAGGGCUGUGGCUAUCCAGCAUUUAAUAGAUAGGAAAGGACUUCAUGGGUGUCCGCACGCUGGCCCGAAGAAUGACUCAGUAAUGGGGAGGGGAAAAUUCCAUUUAAUGCGGCAGGCCUUCAUGGGGUCCUCCCAGAAAGGCCUUCAUGGGGUCCUCCUCUGAAUUCUGCCACCCAACUGGUGAGAGCUGACUGAAAAGUAACCCAGGGGCAGAGGAUGUAGACUCCUAUUUGGUGAGGACACAGGUUAGGAAGAGGAGAGGUCAAUGAGGAGACAGAAGGGUAUAGACACCUCAUGGUAGAGGACUGCCCCUUCCUGGAUGCCAACAGAAAAGAGAAGUCUCCCUUUAGAACAAGGUGAAGAGAAGAGUGGGCUCAAGAGAAAGCCUCUGAAUGGAAGCCAGUUCAGUAAAGGUCAAUUAUCCAUCCACCCAUCUGUCCAUCCCUCCAUCCAUCCAUCCAAUGUUUAUUCAGUGUUUGUCUAUACUAGAUGUCCACUAGGGCUCACAUUCUUCAGCACACCACCAUUGCCUUAUUUCAUCCACUGUAGGUGGAUAUCAACAUUCCCAUUCCCGUUUUACAGGUGAGGAAACUGGAUCAGAAAGAUCAAGCCACUUGUCCAAGAUCUCACAGCUUGUAGGGGGCAGAGCAGGGAUUCAAACCUAGUAAGUUUCUUGGCCUUUAAAUCCCAUGCUCUGGACUUGAGUGUGCUCUGGCCUCUCUCAGGACCCCUCAGUGGGCUGGAAUGGAGUAACCACCAGUGUUGAUGCAGUUGAGGCCCACCACAGUUCAAGUGCUGGAGAUUCAGUGGUGUCGAGACGAGAGCAGUCCUCACAGAACCAAAGGUCAAGUGAGGUGGAUGUGAUGAACAGGUCACUGGACUGGGCAAGGAAAUGCACAGGAACUGCAGAGCUGCCUGACCUAGCAGCCUGUGAUGAUGAAAACCUCCUCUGGAAGUACCAUUUGCCAAAGAUGGACCCGCCAUUGGCUCCCAGAAUAAAAGAUGAACAGAUGCUGGGGGAGAAGCAGGCACAGAGGGAGGGAGGGAGGGAGGGCUGAUGCUAAGGCACACAGGGCCCCUGUGAGAAUAGAGGGGACAGUUGGGUUUCUCAAAACAUGGCUCCUUUUGGAAAGCUCAUGCUUCAUCCCUGUCUCCCAAAACAUCCUUAAAGAAAAAAAAAUCAGCUGAAAAUAUGAACAGAGACCACACAAGAUUUUGGAAAUAGGAAAGAGAAAAAGCAAUGGAUUCUGGGGAGGGCUUCUCUGUAUUUCAGUGUUAGUUUUUGUUAUGAGAAUAUUGGACUAUCGGUUUGUGUCUUCAGGAAAAAAGUGUG